UAUAAUUUGAGUUGCAAUAUAUACAGGGAUAAUAAUUUUAAUUUGAAGUUGCAGUUGCCUGUCGUUACCUUUUCCAUCGUCUUACUAGUAGAGACUGGAACUACCUUGAUAGAAAAAGGAUACUCUGAUUCCACAUCUGCCUGCAUGUUGCAGUUGCCUGUCGUUACCCUUUCCACCGUCUUAUUAUCCUGGUAGAGACUAGAACUAUCUUAAAAGAAAAAGGAUACUCUGAUUCCACAUCUGCAUGCAUGCAGAAAUAAAGCCGAAAAGUAUCUAACUGACCCCACUCAUGAAAUCCGUUGGCAUUAAAAUUCUGCGUAGUUCUUCAUUAUCGUCUCUUCUCAAAGCUGGGUAAAUAGUUUUAGAAGAUUUUGAAACUUUGCUUUAGUGAAUAGUUCAAAUGUUUAUUGCUGUAAAUUGAUAUAUUUAAUAUUAAAACGUAAGAUUUUCAAUUAAGGCUGUGUUUGUAUUUUAAUAAAACUUUUGUCCCUCGUUUUUAGUAGAUCUAUUAAUGUAUAUCGAAGUACCUUAUAAUAUUAAAUAUAAAAUCCCUA